UACGUAGGGUGCAAGCGUUGUCCGGAUUUAUUGGGCGUAAAGAGCUCGUAGGCGGUUUGUCGCGUCGGAUGUGAAAACCCAGGGCUCAACCCUGGGCCUGCAUUCGAUACGGGCAGACUAGAGUAUGGCAGGGGAGACUGGAAUUCCUGGUGUAGCGGUGAAAUGCGCAGAUAUCAGGAGGAACACCGGGGGCGAAGGCGGGUCUCUGGGCCAAAACUGACGCUGAGGAGCGAAAGCGUGGGGAGCGAACAGG
rnacentral:rRNA from 1 species